rnacentral:rRNA from 1 species
AGUAACGCGUAUGCAACCUACCUUACACUGGGGGAUAGCCCGAAGAAAUUCGGAUUAAUACCCCAUAGUAUUAUCGAGAGGCAUUUUUUGAUAAUUAAAGCUCCGGCGGUGUAAGAUGAGCAUGCGUCCCAUUAGUUAGUUGGUAAGGUAACGGCUUACCAAGACAGCGAUGGGUAGGGGCCCUGAGAGGGGGAUCCCCCACACUGGUACUGAGACACGGACCAGACUCC